CUCUAAAAUCCCAUUAUUUUCCCCAUUAUUUCCCCAUUAUUUUCUCGGAUAUUUUCCCCAUUAUUUUCUCCCAUUCUUUUUCUCUAAAAUCCCAUUAUUUUCCCCAUUAUUUCCCCAUUAUUUUCCCAUUAUUUUGCUCGGCAUUUUCCUCUAAAAUCCCAUUAUUUCCCCAUUAUUUCCCCAUUAUUUUCUCUGAUAUUUUCCCCAUUAUUUUCCCCCAUUCUUUUUCUCCAAAAUCCCAUUACUUUCCCCAUUAUUUUUCCUCAUUAUCCCCCAUUAUUUUCCCCCAUUCUUUUUCUCCAAAAUCCCAUUAUUUUCCCCAUUAUUUUCUCUGAUAUUUUCCCCCAUUCUUUUUCUCUAAAAUCCCAUUAUUUUCCCCAUUAUUUCCCCAUUAUUUUCCCCAUUAUUUUCUCUGAUGUUUCCCCCAUUAUUUCCCUCAUUAUGCCCCAUUAUUUUUCCUCAUUAUCCCCCAUUACUUUUCUCCAAAAUCCCAUUUUUCCCCCAUUUUUUUCCUCUAAAACCCUAUUUUUUUUUUCCCCUGAAACCCUCUCAUUUCUCU
rnacentral:lncRNA from 1 species